GGCUCCCAACGGAAGCAAAAUUGCCAGGACGUGAGAACCCGCCCACUUCGCCGGAACUAUCGCAUCUUCGAACGGAAAUCUACUUGCCAAAAGGGGUGAGAAUGCGUCAUUGAUGUCUCUGAGGCUGGUUUUGUGCCCAAGCCCCAGGUGCUACAGAGAUGAAGCCCACACAGCUCUCUCCUCAUGAUAUGUCUUGAGCCUGACCUUGGUCACUCCCUAGAGCGCCAUCUGAGAACCUCCCUUCUUUAAACUCUACACACAUUCUCGUGGCUUUAACUGACAUCGUAUUUGGCUCCCAAGCCCACGUCUUCAGCUCCCAAUUUUCUCAUAAGCUCUAGACCCCUGAAUCCACUUGCCUCCUGGACAUCCCCUCCUCCCCUCUUGGAGGUCCCAUGAAUGUCUUAAACUCACCAUGUCCCAAACACCAUGCAUCAUCUCCCCCUGAGAAUGUCCUAAACCAGCUUCUGUUCCUCCUUUUUCCUCUCCAUGUGGAUGACAGGGGGUCACCCAUGCCAUAACCUUGGCCUUGAACUUCAUUCUAAAGGUGAUGCUUCACACAACUUGUCAGGAUAACCUCCGUAAAAAUACUAGAAGAGGGCUUCUCUGGUGGUGCAGUGGUUAAAGAAUCCGCCUGCCAAUGCAAGGGACACAGGUUCGAGCCCUGGUCCGGAAAGAUCCCACAUGCUGUGGAGUAACAAAGCCCGUGCGCCACAGCUACUGAGCCUGCACUCUAGAGCCCGUGAGCCGCAACUACUGAGCCCACGUGCCACAACUACUGAAGCCCAUGCACCUAGAAACCGUGGUCCGCAGCAAGAGAAGCCACCACAAUGAGAAGCCCGCGCACCGCAGUGAAGAGUAUCCCCUGCUCGCCGCAACUAGAGAAAACCCGUACACAGCAACAAA